UGAAUUGCUGCUUUUGGGCCUUACUCUGCGACAGGGCUGUGAGCGUGGGUUGAACGGAGGGCACUGGAGGCUCAGCUGUUGGCUGGGACCGUUCGUGUGCCCGAGUGCAGGGAGCUAUGGAAGGAGGUGUCAUGCGCAUUGGUGACCAGAUCAUACUGGAAGAAGAUUAUGAUGAGACAUAUGUUCCCAGUGAGCAAGAAAUCCUGGAUUUUGCAAGAGACAUCGGCAUUGACCCAAAGGAGGAGCCUGAGCUGAUGUGGCUGGCCAGGGAAGGAAUUGUGGCCCCAUUACCACCCCAGUGGAAGCCCUGCCAGGAUGUCACUGGUGAGAUUUACUAUUUCAACUUCAACAACGGCCAGUCCACGUGGGACCACCCCUGUGAUGACUAUUACAGAGCGCUGGUCGCUCAGGAACGGAGGAAGCUGCUGGCAUGUGGCAGCUUGAAAAAGAAAGAAAAGAAGAAGAAAGACAAAAAAGAUAAGAAAGACAAGAAGGAUAAGCAGUCAUCGAAGCAGCACGCUGAGAAUCCUGAGCCAGAACCAGAUAGCCAGAUUAGCAAUGAAGGCAGAGGGAGUCCGUCACACAUAAAUGAUUCAUGGAGACAAUUUGCAGGCAUGGGGCCAAACAAACUGCAUCCCACACUUGUAUCGGCAUUCAACAGGCCACGCCAAACCUUAACUGAUGUGAAAACUGUAGGAAGUGGCCCACCUUUCAGCAGCUUUGAUGUAUACAUCCAGCAGGGCCAAGAUGUACCUUUGGAAGUACGAGAAAAUGUUCUUUUCAACUCUGUUGGGGCUAUGAAGAGAAAUACAAUUUUAUUGCAAGCUAGAGAAGGAAGAAGGAGCCAUGACAUGACUGUCUUUGAUUCCAGUCCCAUGGGUGACUGGAGUUUGCAGGAGUUGGUUGAUGCUUCAUAUGUUCAAGAGCAGCUAAGGUUUCACAGCAGAGUAUCUCAGAGUAGAAGUAAGAGAGAAGUUCAGGAUGAGGCUUUGGGUCAAGCUGUCAUUCUUUGCACGAAUGAUGAGAGCAUCAGCAGACCUGGGAGGCAGGAUUCAAAGCAAAUGGAACCAAUGGAACUAGGAGCAGAUAUAAAAGCAGACGAUGUCAGUGGUGUACCAGAGAACCCAUCUGGAGUUCCUCAAGAGAUCAUGGGUGUGCAACCCUGCUUGCAAGGAAUAGAUGCAAAGGGGGGAAUUAAUGUGUACCAUCGUACAUCAAAACGUGUUUCUCCAUCUGUCAAAGAUGGCUGUGGAGAAGAUGGAGAAAGAGGUGAUUCAAUAUCAGAAUGUGACAGCAGUGACUGGGACAGUUCUCGUAGUGUUGAUACACCCCAGAUACUGGGAGUGAGCCAUCAGUUCUCCUCUCCACACCGUGAGUCUGGAAGCCCAAAGGACCUGCACUUUUUCAUUGAGGGGCCUAUGCUGCCUUGUGCCUUCCUGACAUCACCCAUGUCUCAGAUACGCAGUCCUGCCCAAAAAUCAGAGAGGGAACGUAGCUCCAAGAGUAUGAAAUUGUUCCACGUGCUGCAGGAACAUGAAGAAAGUGCCAGCUUAGAACCUGAAUGCGUUAGGUUUGUGGUGGAUUCCUGUGAGCAACUCACUGUCCAGGAUUCUGAUGGUGCUGCUGAAGGACAGAAAGAAAUGAAGAAAGGAAAUGGAAGGGCAGAUCAGGAUCUCAGAGUGUGGGAGGAUGGAGGCACAAAAGACUCGUGUGCUCCUCCUGAGUGUCUCUAUCAGAUGGCUGACUGCCAAGGAAGCAACAGUCCCUGUCAGCACACAGAAGUGAGGGUGACCCAGACCAGAAAAACUGCUGAGAAUUACAGCAAAAUAGAGGUUGGUGAAGGAACAGGUGAAAAUAAGCCUUCAGGCACCCUGCCAGCACCUGUGCAGGUGCCCCUGGGGAACCUUGCUCCUCUGCGUGGCCCUGUGGCUUCUCCAGCUGGCGUCCUGCAUGCCUCACUGCACUCAGACAUGGGGAGCUCUGUGGAUGCUGGUGUUGCAGACAGAGAAGAAGCUCAGAGUCUCCAUAGGACAACUGGACUCUUCAAAAACCUGCACAUGGAUGUCAGUGCCCUGGGAUGCAGCUUUGAAUCUGAGGAUAACAGCAAAGCACAGGAGAACUAUGGCGGUCACCUGGCUGAUGUCACUGAAGCUCAUCUCCAGGACCAGAGGAGUCCCAUGGAGGAAGCUGGCAGUCUGAGAGAGGAGUCUUUAAAAUCAAGACAUGCUGAAGAAGAGUCUUCCUUGGAUUCUGGUGACACGUGCCCUCCAACUCCAGUUAAAGCCCUUUCUGGAGAUGCUCACUGUAGGCUGUCUGACCAGAACAAAGAGGAAUCUGAUGAGAAACUCGCUGGGAAUGAAGGACUGGGUGAGAAAGCUGCUGAGGUGCAAGGUGACGUCUCUGCAGCUGAUGAGCUGCCACAGUCUCUGGAGGAAGGGAGAGCAGCAGGGACAGACGUGCCCAGCAGUCCUGGGCAACCUCGAGCUGCAUCUCCAGAUGCUGAAGCUGCUGAAGCAGAUCAGCUGGCAAGCCUGGCUGUCACCGUUGACACCGUGUCUGUUGAUGAAAAUAUAGUAAAUGAAAUGAGGGAGGAAGCAGCUGAUGUGAAAGCUGACAGCAGGCUGGAUGCUGGCAAACCUUCCAAAGUAUCUGAGAGCAGUGAAUGCAUGGAGGACUUGCAGGCUUCUAACCACCUCGACCAGGAGCUGAUCCAGCAUGUGGACUUGGCUUUCCAGAGCCAGUUUUCUGAGCGGGUGUUGGAUGUAGAUGCUCUGUCUCCUGCUUUAGACAAGUCACUGUGCAAGGCACAGGAGCUGGGAGAAGAGGAAAAAGACCAAAGCAAAGCCAGUAUAGAUGAAGAGCAAAGCAAAAGAACAAAAGCUGCUGUGAGUGAGAGGGAUCAAAGUGGUGGUGAAGCAUCAGAACAGAAGUGUGUUGCUUUAGAAAAUGCCAAUCAAGAGGAGGCUGUGGCCCUGCAGCUGGAUGAGGAAUUGCUGGAUAGCCUAAUCGAUCUGGAAGAACUUGCAGCCCUGCAAAAAGCGCAACCUGAGAAAGAAACAAAACAAGAGCAGUCCUUGACCCAGUCUAGUGAAGAAUCCCUGGAGGGAGUAGCCAAGGAGCUGGAGAAGGAGGUCGAACAAGACAAAACGCACUUACUGCAAGCAAAGGAGGAGAAAAUCCAGCAAUUCCAAGAGGAAAUGAGGCUACGGGAGGAGGAAGAAACUCAGAAGCUUUAUGAGCAAAAAGAAAAAUCCCUCAGGACACUGAAAGAGGAUUUGGCAAAGGUUUGUGAGGAGGAAGAAUUACGUGUGAGAAAGGAGGAAACUGAAAGACUGUCAAAGCUGCGAGCCACCAUCACCUCUGAGACUGAGGCAGAGAAGGAGAAGAUAAGGGCAGAGCAAGAGCUGGCACUGCAAAAACUAAGAGAAGGGUGGGAGUCUGUGCAGGAAAUGGAGAAGGAGAACUUGGAGAGGAAGAAGCAGCUUGCUUUGGAGAAAAUGAAGCUGGAAAUGGAGGAAGCUCAACAGAAAGAAACAAUCAGGCUAGAAAAAGAGAAGGAACAAUUCCUAAGGGAGCUUAAGGAGAGAUUAGAAAUGGAAAAGAAAAAGGCUGCAGAGGAGCUAGAGAAACAGUUUGCAGCUGAACUCCAGCAGCUGAAAUCUGCAGCAGAAGAGAAGCAUCGAAAGGUCACUUCCAGCCUGCAAACCCAGAUAGCGGAGGCACAGAGGAGUGAGGAGGCUUGGUUGCGUGAAGAUUUGCAGAGAGCAGAGGAGAAAGUGCAGCAGAAAUCAUACCAAGUAGCAGAAUAUGAACGUGAGCUCAGUGAGCUUAUGAGUGAGAAACGCCACGAAGUGGAAAAAGAUCAUGAGAGGAAAAUGGAGAGGAUGAAGGAGGAGCACCAGGAGGUCCUAGCAAGGAUUCGGGAUCAGUAUGAAGAGGAGGAAAGAAAGCAAAGAGCAGAGCUGUUGGAAGGCCUGCGAGGUGAGAUGGCUCGCCUCCGACAGCUCCAUGAAGCAGAGGUGAAAACUCUGCAGGCAGAGCUGGAUGAACGUCUGACCGCACUGCAGCACAGGCAUGGGGAGAAGGAAAGAAGACUCCAGGAUUCAGAAAAUGAGCUUGAAAUACGUGCAAGGAACAUUAAAGCAAGAUCAGUGCAGCUGCUUAGCCAGGAGGAGUCUCUGAGAAGGAAAAAGCAGCAGCUGCUAGAUGAAGACAGACGGACUGAGCGAGAACGAGAUGAAGCUGCUUUAGCUUCUCAACUCCGCCUGGAGGAGAACCGGAAGGAGCACACCAACCUUCUUGAGUCCAUCUGGCAACUGCGUAAGGCUCUUGAGGAGCUCCAGGACCAGAAAGCUGAGCUGGAGGCCCAGGUGGAUUUGCUGCAGACUCGAAGCCAGAGGCUGCAGAAGCGUAUCAGUGAGCUUGAGGCAGCUGUCAGGAGCAAGCAGGAGACUUUGAAAGAAUUGGAGGCAGAAGAAAGUGCGGAGUCUCCCAGAAGGAAAGCUGAGCUCCAUGUUGAAGACCUGAGAGAAACUAUUCAUGCUCAUUCAUCCAGAGAGCCUGCUUCCCCGCCUUCUCAAAACCAUGAAGACAGCAACUUCCAGUUUGAUCAAGUCAGGAGCUACAUCUCUGCUGAAGGAAUCUCCAUCAGAAAAGCCAAGGAAUUCCUGGUGCGUCAGACCCACUCCAUGAGGAAAAGACACACAGCACUGAAAGCUGCAAAGCAGCAGUGGCACCAAGAUGUGCAGAAAGCACAGGAGGUGGUGCAAGAUCCUGACAACUCCCAGCUCCUGGAGGGAAUGCGCAAGAACCUGGAAGAGGAAGCCAAGCAGCUGGACAAGAUGAAGUCGGCUAUGCGGAAAGGACAGGUGCUGCUGAAGAAGAAGGAAGAGAAGCUAAGCCAGCUGGAGUCGUCCUUGUUGGAGGAGCUUUCAGAUGAAGAUACACUAAGGAGUGUUGCGUGCAAGAAGAUGGUGACUUUUGAUCUCAGCAGCUCUGAGGACACAAACAGUAUAUCCAGUGCAAACGUACAUUUGCCAAAGUCUGACCUGCGAUCAGAGGUGCAGAUUGCCCUACAGCAGGACAAGAUCCAGUACUUGACAAACUCUGUGCAGCACAUCACCAACGAGCUGAAUGGGGUCCUUGGCGUUCUGAGCUCUCUGAACACCCUCCAGCCUCCACUCCUCACUUCAACACAAGUGCCCCUGCAGGUUCCCUGUGACAGCAUUCCUCUUUCUACGUAUUCCACCUUGGCAGGAUUGCAGGCAGGUGCCUCCUCGAGGCCCUCUGCUGGGCUGUCUGUGCCUCACCAGUGGGCCUGGGGCACUGGGCUGAGCUCCAGCCGCUCCUUCGUGGCUGGGCAGUCAGUGGACCGUUUCCUGGCAGAGAAGUGGCACAAGUACUUUCCAGGUGGGUUCCCAUCAUCCAGUGGAAGUUCUGGUCCUUCAGACAACAAGCUGGGAUAUGUACCUGCAAGUGAGCAGAUGCGCGUGUUCCAGAGCCGUGAGUCAGACAAGAUGAGUAUUCAAGGAAUGAUUGAGACCAACAAGAAAUGGCUAGAAGACUUCAAGAGUGAUUCAAGGAUACCUCUCUUCCCAGGCGCAGAGAAGCCCCCUGCCAGCAGCUCCAGCCUACUUCAGCUAGGGCUGGAUGAAAACAGACAAAUUAAAGUGUACCGUUACUGAAAGGUGGGACUUGAUGUUUUCAGCCCUCAGCUCUGGGCACAGGACCUGGAGAGAUGAUAGCUGGGGGCUGUGCAGUCUCUCUAAUGGUACGGUGGGUUUUGGUGAUACCCAGCCAUCUCUGUCUUUGUGCUGUGCCCUUGAAAUAAAGUCUCUUUACAAGAGAGUGGAGGGAGGAGGAAGUGAAGUUCCCAGGUGGAUUCUUCUAAUCCUGUAAUGUGUCCAAAUAUACUUUAUAGACUGUUUAAUCCAGUGGUGAAAUAUCAGGGCUUCAAUAAAUCAACAGUUCUCUCAUUAGUAUUCUAGAAACUGUGAGACAUAGCUGUGAAUCAUGGAGAACUUUGAGUAACUGGUCAAGGGGGAGGACAUGAAUCUAACUGAGACUUUGCUAGAGGAAAUGUAUCAGGAAAUGAGCCCACACUGAUGCCCAACAAAUGCUUAAUUACAGAUGAGCCAAGUCAUCUGGCUUCUGUGGCGAGUGCAUGAGCAGGGGAGAACGGGCAGCAAAAUGGCUAUAGAAUUGGGAAACAGCAGAUUUUGACUCUGGGAAAUGUUCCUCUCUUCUGGUGUGGAAACAAUAGGAACAAAACCAAGGGUGGUUUUCAUGGCAGAUAUUGUAGGAGAGAGUUCCCUGUGUCCUCCUCUUUCUGCCAGGCUGGCCAGAACUGCGCAGCAUAACUGUGCUAUGGGAGCUCAGCUCAUGUAUUACAAAUGUGCUGAUGGCAACACGGAGCAGGGAUGGCAGGAGAGCGAGCAGCAGUGUCUGCUGGUACAGGCAGUGCUGGGGAACUCAGCCUAGUGUGACUGCGAGGAGACAAAGCCCCAUCUGCAUCCUUCCCUGCCCUGGGGAAGGGGAUGUGGAGCUCAGCAGCUGGGGCUCUUCCUGCACAGCAGGGCUGCGUGGCAGACCUGAGCGCUGGCCUCGCUGCUUGGAGCAGCUCUCCCAAAACCUUGAAACAAGGCUGGGAGCAGGGCUGGGGGUUGGCACACGCUGUGCUCCGAUGUGAGCUCACACCUCAGCAGGUGGCUGUGGUUGUGGUGCUUUGGAUGGGCUGCAUUCAGAGCACAGCCACGUCCUGCUGGCAUGCAGAGGUCGGCGGGGGCUGCUUGAACCAGAGGGGUGGGAGAAAUCAGGCCGUGCUUUCAUACCACUAAGUGGGGAAAGUGGUAUUUGGUUGUUUUAUCAGUCAUUCCUCCGAGCUGACUUUAAAUAUUUAAUGCUGUAAAAAAACGCUGUACCAUUUGCUAUUUUGUCUGAUGAGAAGUCUGCAUUUCAAGGGAUCCCAUCUGUGAGAAAUCAGCUUCAAAGUCGCUCUCUCUGGAGACAGCUGAGGCGGGGAGGAUGGCGAAGUUGCUGCUCUUCACCCUUCAGUGCUGUUUUGCUUCUCAGUGGCUAAUGAUGUGCAGCAGAGUAAAGCACAGCUCCCCCUUCCUGGCUGUUGUGCACUGGCACAGCAUUGCAGCGAUUUGUGCUGUGAGGGUGGCAGGGGAAUGUUUACAUGCCAAUAGAAAUAUAUUUUUGAUGAACAUUUUAAAACUCUCAGGAAGAAUGUCCGUAUUUGCAUUUAUUUUUAUUCUUUUGGGGCUGAGCUCCUUAAUAUUUUCUAAAUUCCUCAGCCAGCCUUUGUCCUGGGAUCUUCUGCAGUGGGUAGCAUCACGCUCGUGUCCUUGCUGAAGAAAUCCCAGCUGGGCUGAGCUGGGAGACCUCAUGUGACCACAGGGAAUGGCAGCUGUGUGGGGCAAUCCCUGCUCCAUAGGAAGGGAUGGAUGGAAAUGCAGAUUUCCUGUCUGCUGUCAGAUUAUGCCAAUCCCUGCCUAGAGGGAUUUUGCUUUUGGUUUCCCAGCUCUUGGUGGAACACGUGGCAGAAUCUCUAGUUAUAUUUUGGACUUCUGGCUCCCUGAAGGUGGGGGGAGGCUGUCAGCACGGUGGAUGCUGCACCCAAAGCCGUGCAGCUGAGCUCAGGCUGCAUUCUGAAAAGCAUAGAUUGGUGGUGUGGGGGAAGCGCCUGCUUUCUUAGCAAUAAUACAUUUUGAAACAUGUUUAUUCUUCCUGUUGAAACUUGUGAUCGCUGUAUCUGGUUUUGUAAGCAAAUUAAAUCAACACGAGUCUGUUUUGUAUGGGGUGACGUUUGCGGCUUUAUUUUUGCUUGCUGAGCCAUCCAGCUGUAGUCUCAGAUAGCCAGCUCGUACUUACCUUUCACAUCUUCCCCUCACUUUUCUCCAGGCUGCUUCAUGUUUUGUCUUGUCAAGGUCAUCUCUGGCAAUUUUUAAGACCACUUCAGCUCGCUGUAGCUUUAUUACCAUUAUUCUAUUAAGCAUCUGGCCACGGUAGCAAACGCAGGGGCAGAUAGAAAGCUGGAAAACAAAACUACAAAAGCAAUUCUUCACGGGGCUCUCAGCCAGCAGGACAGCUUUUCAUGGGCUUGUAUCCUGCCCUUUUCAUAAAACUGUCAUCCAGACUCAUUACAAUGGUUGUCUCCCUUCUGAGCUUCGUGUCAAGGCUGCGAGCCGGGCUGUGUGCCUGCAGAGCAAGGCCAGCCCUGCGGGAGGUGCAGGAGGGCUCCGGGUGCUCUCCUGGCUGCUUUGGCUCUGCCCUGGCUCCCUGGCAUGUGUCGCCCUGCUGGGGAACGGGGCCUGGCUCUGGGGCUGCUCUUGGAUAAAGCAGAUUGGGUUAAAAGUGGUGAAUGUGCAGCUGCUGUUUGAGGUCCUGUGCUGCUGCGUCGCUGGGUCACGUUCUCACCACCAAGGAGAGUUGGAUCUGUGCUGUUAUAGAAUCGCAACAACCUGCAGGAUCAUCCAGUCCAACCCCCCUCCCAUUCCUAUCAGUACCACAAGCACUAAGCCAUAUCUCGCAGCUCCUCAUCCAGGCGCCUCUUGAACGCUGCCAGGGACGGCGACUCCACCACCUCCCUGGGCAGCCAUUCCAGUGCCUGACCACCCUCUGAGAGAAAAAGUUUCUCCUAAUAUCCAACCUAAACCUCCUCUGGUACAACUUCUGGCCGUUUCCUCGGAUCCUACUAUUUGCCUGGGAGAAGAGGCCAGACCCUUUUGCACCGCAGCCUCCCUUCAGGAAGUUGUACAGUGCAGUGAGGUCUCCCCUGAGCUCCUCUUCUCCACACUGAACAAUCCCAGCUCCUUCAGCCACUCCCCAUAAGAUUUGUGCUCCAGACCCCUCACCAUUUUCAUUGCCAUGGUCCUCUGCCCACGGUUUGGUCCUUUCCCUUCCCACCACCUGCCAGCAGCCGUGGGACUCCACAAUCCGCUCUUCCCUCUGCCUGUUUGCUCCUCUGGGACUUUUCAAGGUGGUCUGGUUAAAACCUCAGCUUGUCUUCUCUCUAAACACUGGAGUGAAGGCUCCGGUGCUGGGAGGCUGCAGGUGUGUAACAGGGACAAUGACAGAAGUGCUAGGGAGAGGGAGUUCAGCUCCUGCCCUUGGUUUUCCACCUCUGACUUCAGCACAGCUGGAAAUCCUGGCUUCAGAUGGAUGGGGAUGGGAGAACUCUGACAACUGUAAUAUGAUUUGAGCUCCUGGUACAGCAGCAGCAAGACACAAAGACAAAUGUGGUCCUGGGAUGCACGAGGCAUGAAGACACACGGAGGGGCUGUGCUGCUGCUGUGCACAGCUGUGCUCUGCAUGCAGGGGGAUGGAAGGAAGGAAGGCAGUUGCUGCUGUGCGUGCUGGGGAGUGAGGGGAGCUACUGAAGCUGUAGGACAGAUGAGGUGCAGGAAGAAUCUGUUGGCCGUGUAGAAAUGGUGGGCAAUGGCUAGAUGCACGUCCUUAAGAGCAAAACACAAACCACCCCCAGACCUUGAAUUGCACGUUGUCCUGCUCAGCUAUAGCAAAUACGAUGCCACAGACCUGAGCAUGCUGUUGAGCCCAUGUAAUAACUGAAGCAAUCAAGUCUCUUGGUUCCCUACAGCUCUUCUGAAGCAGCUGCUGGGCAAAGAGCACGGGAUGGCACUGAGAAACCCAAAUUCACAUCUGGACUCUGCAGGCCUUUUGGGUGCGGGAGGCAGUGCUGUCAUCCUGCUGAGAAGCAAUCCAAAACAGAGCCAUGGGUCUGGGUGUGUGAGUGUGCAUAGGUCUGCACAGGUACAUAAGGAAGAAGAGGAUUUGCUUUUCCUGGAAUGCUGGUGCUGCAUACGUUGGAGAAAUUCAACGAUUAGAAGAGCAAGAGGACAGAGCGUGAUUAUGGUGCCAGGAUGAACACAAGCUGUAAGCUCAUUAAGGAGCUUGGAGUCGGCCUGCUGGAGGAGGGGGCGCUUCAGUCACUGCUGCUCAGAGACCACAGUGCAUCACUGCCAGAGCUUUGGCUUCCCAGGACGGUGGGAGACUCUCGGAGACCGCAGCCAUGCUGGGGACCCUGAUGACAGCACUGUUUUUUGUGGUGAGAGCAUUUGGACAGGUGAGUUGGAGCUGGCAGUAGGUAGGAUUUAAUGCUUUUUGUCUUAUUUCUAGAAGCGUGGGGGUUGUUAUCUUGUCAACUCUAAGCUGGUUUGAGCACAUUUGAAUUUCUGUGGCUGUAGCAAAGUAGAUCUAACAGCUGCUUUGCAGAGAACUGCAAAGUGCAGGUACUUAGGCUUUCCAGUCUGGUGCCUUGGUGCCGCAAAUGGGGAGCAAAUUGGAGCAAAUUGGGAUUGGAAGGCAGGAAAACCACCCCUGCUUGCUGCUGGGGGCACCUGACCCUAUAGCUGGGGGCACCUGAGCCCUUGGAGCUGGGGGAAGGGGAUGAGGAUUCCACGCUUGUCUGGUGGGACACAUCCUAAAGCCCUCCUGAGCAGGAGGGUCACCUGAACUUAACACAGUGCCACACGGCAUCAGCUUUAUCCAUAACAUCCGUGUUUGCUUUCACGACUUGCUUAGCUUUAGUUCUUGUCAUUUAAGAGCUCAGCAGCACAAUCUGCUGCCUCUGUAUCUUUCCUUCCUGACCUGCUGCUUGCGACCCUGUAGUCAUCUCUGAUGGCAAGCAUGAAGUCAGGUGGAGGAGGAGGAGAGGGCAGCAAGCAUUCUCGUGGGCUGUGAGUCCCAUGCUGGCUGUGCACUGUGGGACCAGGACCUGUGAGAACACCCAGUGAGAAUUGCCCAUCAAUGGUGCCAGGAUGACAAGCUGAGCAUCGCCACUGUUAGCAAGGGUGUGAUCAGUGUUGAUGUGCACGCAGGAGCAGCUCUUCCUGUUGCUCAUCCGCUUCUCCCCCGUUCUCUGACCUGCUGCAAAUCCUCUCUCCAUCCAGCUCGGGACCAGCCUGUUCCAAGAAGAGCCCCUGCCAUACCUUGUGUACCAGCCUCUGCCCUGGCAGAUCCAGUGUGUGACACAGAGCCGCCGCACCAGCCGGGACAGCGAUAGAGGCAGGAGCUCACGUCACAACAGCAUCUACUCGAUUUCUGGAGAUAGAGGCAGCUUGACCCCCGAUGCCAGCAGUGAUGGCAAAUUCUUCAGCGAUCCCUCUGAGAAGGCAGCUCUCACCAUCCAGACCCACUUCAGGAGAUACCAGCAGCAGAAGCAGGGGAAGAAGUAGCUGCCUUGGCCGUCGUGCCCUGCACCGUCCCUCCUUUUGUGCGUCGCAUUCCCCAGCGAGAUUUGUGGCCGUGGUGACCCUGCUACCUAGCUCUUGGUGUGUGUAGAUUGUCUGCUGGUCACUGAGAUCCUUUUCCUGGUGGCUCCUUCCCUGGACAGCGUUGCCUUGAAGACCGAGGUGCAACCACGGGGCUCCUGGUGGGAGCCUGACAUCCAUGUGGCAGAGCUGGCAUUUGCCAGCCUAGGUGGAAGCACAGUGCUGGGAGCUGCAAGCCUAGGAUGUGGAGAAUAGGGCACAAACAGCUAAGAGCAGUUUGCAGCAAUUAAGCAUCCAGGUGGGGCUCUUUCUCAUCAGCUUCAGCCCUCCUCCGUGCCUCUGUUUUGGGCUGGAGCUGAGGCAGAGCAGUCACUUCUCCUUCCCUUGCUCUUGGACCUGAACAGUGAUGUCCCCCAGGCUGUGUGCUUCAGGCACUGAGGGAGCAGGAGGUGUGCUGCAUGCUGUCACCUGGUUUCUUCUUUUCUUGGGGGCUCCUGCCUUCAGAGUGGGGCUGGGCAUGAGACUGUUGGGGCUGCUCCUUUCCCAGGCAGCCCCCUACCACCCCAGCCUUUGGCUUAGCUGCCUGUUGUCACUCGUUUCAGAGUUUUGCAGACCACAACACCUGUUCCACAUCUGGCAGGGACAGGACCUGAGCUUCUCUUGAUUUAUAGCAUCCAUUUUUUGAGUGCUGGCUUUAGGAUGUUGCAGGAUGUUGAGAAAGAUGAGAAAACAGAAGCAGAGGUGGGAGGUGCCAGACUGGGAAACCAGGAAGUGUUUGAGAAGCAGGUGAGGAGAUCCAGGAGCUAUGGCACAAAUGGAAGGGCCAGGAGAUGCUGACUGUGAGCAGUGAUGCUCUGACCACUGCAAUGUGUUCUCAGCUGCCUCUUUGCUGGCUACGGUGCUGGAUUUUCUGUGCAGAGCUGCUGAUGUUGUGUCCUUCACCUCCUGCCUCGUUGCUGUGCAAGGCAGUGAGCUCUGGGGCAUCCUGGGGAGGGGCUGCAGCCGUGGCAAAGUGGAGCGGGGUCACGGGGAGGGGAAGGAGUGCUGGAGCAGCAUGCUUGCCAAGCACCAGGAAUUUGGCCUCUGUUAAUGAAUGCAAAGCCACAGUCUGGAACUGCUGGGGAAGGUGAGGUGGAGAAU